UCUUGGCAGGGAUACUGGAGUGGCUUGCCGGUUCCUGCUCCAGGUGGAUCACGUUUGGUCAAAACUCUCCACUAUGACCUGUCCAUCUUGGGUGGCCUGCGCGGCAUAGCUCAUAGCUUCUCUGAGUUAUUCAAGCCCCUUCGCCGUGGCAAGGCAGUGAUCCAUGAAACAUGAAACAUGUUCUAAAAAACUAGAAAAAGAUUUAUCUAAAAGUUAGCACUUGGUAUCCCACAUUCUUAAAUGUAGCAAAUAUGCAAUUAAACCUAAGUUGUAGAUUAGACUUCUCUAAUACGCACAGGAAUGAAUUAUGAGGAACCAUAUAUCCUGUGAACCAGGACCAGAAUUUCACUAAUAUGGUAGAUGUGAAAACAUAUAGCCAUAGUAGUAUUUGGAUAUUUUUCAUGUCUGCAAUGAAAGUGGAUUCUAGAUUCAAAGUUCCAUGAAAUUUCUCACAUUUGCACUGAGUUAUAAAGGUUUGCAAGAUACCGUAUUUUUUGCACCAUAACACUCACUUUUUUCCUCCUAAAAAGUAAGGGGAAAUGUCUGUGCGUGUUAUGGAGGGAAUGCCUAUGGGUGGCAUGCCUACGGAUUUUCCUCCUCUAAAAACUAUGUGCGUGUUAUGGUCGAGUGCGUGUUAUAGAGCGAAAAAUACGGUAAUAGUCCAUCCCCACCAGGUGGCCUGUAACCUUUCAUGGUAUGCAGUUGUUCAGGAUAGUACUAGUCGGUAUUUGUAAGAGUGAUGACUGAUAAGAGCAGCGCUGAAACCACUGUGGUACCAGGAUGAGCUUUUCUUUGUCAGAAACUACUUUCCCAAAUGGAAAAAGGGGUUUUGAAGUUCCUUGGUUUAUUAGUUGUCCCUUGGCCUGCCCCUCAAUCUUUUCGAUUGCUUCAUUUGUUUUUCAAGUUUCCUUUCCUGGAGUUGUGUCUACAACCAGCAAAAACAAGACACAUGGAAUGUUUACAUCAGUUAGACUUGCGGUAUUAAGGAAACUUCGACACAAAACGCUGUCCGAAUUACCGAGGAAAAGAAGAAAUUGGGUGCCUUGAUAUUCUGAUUUCUAUUCUACGAAUUCCAUAAUUCGGCAGUGCCAAUCAAAUAUUUUUAAUCUGCAUGGAUUUAGGUACAUAUUGAGAUCAUACUUCUCUUAAUAAUGUGUAUCAGUUUACUAACAGUAUGCAGUCCCAAGUACUGAGGGCAGAUGGAUUUUCAGCCUGGAGCUGGCACAGCAUUUGGGCUCAGUACUAUCAUACCACAAUAGUAGGGCUGGUUCAGAAUCCCCUCUACCUCCCACCUCUGGUUUCAGCACUUUUCAUUGGCUGCUACCUACCCACAUGUUCGACAGGUGGAAGAGGGACCUCUGUACCAGCUGGGGGAUGCUGCAGUCAGCUUUGCAGUUAAGGGCUGGAGGGCUUGGAUGGAAGGUUAAGUUUCUUCAACCCAACUCCCAGUGCAACACAAAAUUGGCUCGGAUUGCUCUGUUAAAAAUGUUGACCUAUGUAGGCAGCUACAAACUUACUUGGGAGCUAGCCCCAGUGAAUGUAGUAGAACUCAGUGACUAAGCAUGUGUAGGAUCGAGCCACACAGUUCUUUCUAUGCAACCUGUAAAUUAGUUGAGUUAGGAUAUUUUUGAUUUACACCUCUUGACCACAUCCACACAUCUAAAGCACAUUUAAAACACAUAACUUUUCCCAGUGCUUUUUCCCCCCUAAAAAAAUGUUUAGGGGUACUCUUCCUAAACAUUAGGAAGAACUUCCUGACAGUAAGAGCUGUUUGACAGUGGAAUUUGCUGCCAAGGAGUGUGGUGGAGUCUCCUUCUUUGGAGGUCUUUAGGCAGAGGCUUGACAACCAUAUGUCAGGAGUGCUCUGAUGGUGUUUCCUGCUUGGCUGGGGGUUGGACUCGAUGGCCCUUGUGGUCUCUUCCAACUCUAUGAUUCUAUGAUUCUUAUUUUCUUACUCAUAUUGAAAUACUGCCCCUCCAUGAGGCCAAACGUAGAUUCACAAAAUGUUUAGGGGUAUGUGUACCCCUGCGUCCCCCCAGAAAAAAAGCACUGGCUUUUCCCAGUGAAUCCUGGAAAUAGUUGUGUUUUAAGGGUGCUGGGAAUUGUAGCUCUGUAGGGUCUAAGUUAAAGUUCUUAGGAUGUGCAUUAAAUGUCACCUGCAAAUGUGCUUUAAAUAUAUGGUGUGAAAUUAAGAACAAUUAAAUCAGAGCAUUCUCUGUCUAAAGGUUUGUGGAUGGCAAUCUAUAUUUCUUACUUCAUGUUUAGGAGAAAUAUUCUCGGAGCCCAUAAAGAUGCCGUUUUAUGCCCUCCAGUUUAUUUUUCUAAGCACAUAUUGACUGUAUACCUUAUGAAGUACCUUGUUGUAUAAUGCAGCAAGACCUCUACUAUCUAAAAUUUUCUGAUCCAAAAAACUGAUGGUUGUUUUUAUUAUCUAAUUCCCAUACAACCAAUUGCCCAGCAAUUGUCAAUAGCUGUUGCCUUUGUCUACAAUUCUGAUUAGAAAUAUGUCCUUUAUUACCCAUCCUGGCCUCCUUACUUACCCACCUUUGGAUAUUUGAGGCUAUACUGCAAUAUAAAAUACGUUAUUUAUAGCCAAGCUGUUUUUUUAAACAGCAUCUGGCCAGUUUUUACCCUUAUAGAAGUUACUAUUUGACUUGUUUUGUUAAGUGCAAUAAUGCAAAAAUGUGGAUGGAAAGCUUACAUUUGAGAGACGUAUAAAUAAUUAGAAAUGAUAUUGUUACUUUGAGGAAUACUCUGAGGCUGGACAAUGAAGUGGCUUAGAUGAAAGUGUAUGUGAUUAGGGAAUUUUGCAAGCUAAGAGGGACAAAACUUAUUUUGGGUGUCUGAUGCAUCCAGGUAUCACUUCCAGAUACUACAUGAAACUAGCCUCCUACUCAUAUCAGCAUUUGUGAAAUCAGAGCUGUCCCCAUGGCCCACUUUAGGUGUUACCGUUAUAAAAAGGCCUCAGUGGAGAAUGUACCUUGAACUGCAGCUGUGAACAGUGACUUGUGGAGAAAACUGCUGCAAAUCUGUGCUGAGCUAUGGGACUUGCUGGUUGGCCUUGAGCAAGUCACUAUCUCUUUCGCCUCAUUGUUGUGAGCUCCUUGGAGAAAGGGCGGGAUAGCUAAGCAAUGCAUAAAUGUUGUUAUUUAUUUUUUUCGUUUCCAAAACAGGAUUGUGGGAGGGCAUGCCCUAAUGCUUUGUAUGUGGGGCUGCCCUUGAAGAUGGCUUGGGAGCUUCAAUUAGUGUGGAAUGCGGCUGCCAUAAUUUUUAUCAGUGCAGCCAGAUGGUAUCGUGUUACACUGAACAAAUCACAUUGUCUGCCCUUUUGCUUCAGAGUCCUGGUGCUUUCCUUUAAAGCCUGAAAUGACUUGGGACCGAAAGAGGUGAAGGAGCACUUUUGCCUCCCUGUGCCUUAAGAUCUUCAGAGCAGGCUUUGCUUCACGCCCCACGUCAGUUCCAUGUUGGUGCAGGAUGGGUCCUUCUCUGUGAUGGCACCGCGGCAUUUCUCUCCUAAAUAAGGCAAGCAGCUUCUCUGCUAUCAUUUUGGCCCCAGGUGAAAACUUACUUGUUUGCUCAGGCAUUGUAACCAUGACUGUGUGGUUUACCCAGUUGCUUUUAUUUUAGGUGCCUACGUUACUAAAUAGUUGCUUUUGUUUUGAUGCAUUUGUUAUUAGUGCAUUGCUAGUGUUUGUGUUUGAAAUUGGUUGUUGUGGUGGUUUUGUUGUACCCUACCCUGGUAUCAGAAUCGAUGAAGAGUAGGCUACACAGAUACAAAUAAAUGUUACUCAGGCUGGAAUCAGAAAUAGAUAUUGGCAUGAAAUGGAAUUAUUGCCUGUCCUGUGCAUUAUCAUUUCUUCUCCACCCCACCCCCCCACUUGUCGCCUUUGGAUAAACAUGAUCUGAAGCGCUGCAAUAUCCUGCAAAACCUGCCUGCCAGAGACCAUUAUGCCUCUCCUCUACCACCUUGCAACUCUCUGAAACAACUAGAGAAUGCCCCUCCAGCCUCGGGGAAACAAGUGUACUGGAAAACUACAUAUCUAGGGCACAAGCCCUGUUCAGUAUAACCAGAAUUUUGAUAGGCCAGUACUCAACUCUGCUUUGAUGAACUGUAAAAAAAAAAAAGUCACGUGAAAGGGCGGGUGGGUUAUUGUUGUUGAUGUUAGCAGUAAUACUGGUAUGCCAGUAAUGCGGUGGCUGUUCAAAUGUGCAGCUGAGCAUAGACUACAAGAGCCAAGUCUUGUUCAUGUUUCAUUCUUUAGUGCCUUCUGGCUCCACCCUGUUCUUCUCUGUUCAACUGAAAUCAUUUUUCCGUGUUUCGUGUUAGCUGCUGUCGGAAGCUAGUAUUCCUGCUCAGAAAACAAUCAUUUUCAUAGCCCUAGCAACAUUUUUUUUAAAAAAAACCUGUUGGAUUUAUUCAUCUGUUUCCCUUUUCUGAAAAGAAAAAGCAACAGGCUGGGAAAGUCAUGGUGAUGGUGGUGCUGAUGAUUUAGAAAGGAAUAUCCUAUUCACUAUAUUUGGCACAGUGUUAUAAUCAGAGUUGUAGAAUUUUGCACCAAAAAUAAUGAGGGGUGAAUCUGAAAGAUGGAUGGGUAGAUGAAUUAGUCUCAGGUAACAUAUGUCUGAGUAUUUACUUGGAGAUGGCUAUACACUUGAGGCUAUAAUCCUUUCCCAAACACACCUGGUAGUGAAGCCCAUGGAACUCAGUGGAACUUAUUUCUGAGUAGAUAGAUCUGUUUGCAUUAGAUUAGGAAGUCAGUGGCUUAAUACCAGGGAUAGAGAACUGGUGGCCCUCCAGAAAGGGCUACAAUUCCCAACACCUUCACUUGUUACGCACAUUGAUCAUUGACAUCCAGAGGACCGCAGAUUCCGCACCUCUGCUUUAGACCAUCAGUAUUAAUAUUUCCGCAUCUCUUAAGAUGUACUUAACAGUAGUUCAUGCUUUUGUCCCUUAUUAGCAUAGCUUUGGUUAAGUGCCCACUUCCAAUGGUAGCCGGCUGUUACUUAGUAAACAGAAACGCUUUAGCAAAUACUCAUGCGUUGGGCUUUCCCCCUUCUGUUUCCACAAAUAGUGCAACCCAGCCCACACACAAUUCAUUGUGUUGUAAGCUGCUUAAACACAGAGCAGCUUCAAAAGGAGAGUUUUUAUGAUGGAGCCUGUGAAUGGUUUUGUUCAGUGGAUGGUGUGAGUGGUAGAAAAGAAAGCUGCUACACGAGCAAUCUGCAGCAACCUUCUUUGGAUCGGGCCCGCAGUGAUUAAAGGUAGUGUAGUUAGGCUGCAGUCCUGUACUUACAUACCUGGGAAUACGUCCCAUUGAACUCAGUGGGUCUUAUUUCUCAGGAAGCAUGAGCAGGAUUGCAGUGCAGUAAUAGAGAUCCCCAUUGGUGUAAUGUAGUGGCUAGGAGUUGAGCCAGGAGGUCCCUGGUUCAAAUCUUACCCCUGCCAUGAAUUCAGGGGGGCAAGCCACUUUUCUCUUGGCCUUGGCUUCAAAACUGCCACAGGGGGACAAGAAAAGUAGCCUGCAUUACAGGAUUGUUGUACUAAAUAGUAUACGCAAAGCGCUUCAGACACUUGAAAGGUGUUAUAUAGGCAUUAAGUAGUAUUCUCUUUUUACCGCACAAGAUGUAGAAGAGAGUAAAUAAGAAAAAGCAUGGGAUUGGUGCAGAGAAAAAGACGUACAACUAUGCUUAAGAAACCUCUGCUGGUAAAAUUGAGAGAUUGCCACCUGACUGCAAACAAGCAUAGUUAAAAUGAUUUUUAAAACACGAAAGUGUAAAUAUUAUCCUCACUAUGUAAUUAAUUUUCUUUACUCAAGAUAAUAAAUCAGGAAUUACUCCAGUAUUCUGCCCCUUGCUUUUAUGAAGAACUUGCCUUUGCCACAAACUGCUACCAAUUUUAGAAAUAUUUUAUCAACGUUGACAAUAUUUACUUAUAUAAGUUAGCAGCACAGAGGUUAAAACAUGAUGAACAAUUUUUCAGAUUUUAAAUGGGGGAAAGUAUUUGAUCCCCUGCUAAAUUUGCCCAUUUGCCCUCUGAUGAAGAAAUGACCAGCCCAUAAUUUUAAUGGUAGGUUUAUUGUAGCUGUGAGAGACAGAAUAACAACAGGAAACCCCUCAGACACCCAGAAGACAGAAGUCAGGCUUCUGCUACAUGUACUGGUUUUCCUGAGUACAGUGGUGCCCCGCAAGACGAAUGCCUCGCAAGACGAAAAACUCGCUAGACGAAAGGGUUUUGCGUUUUUUGAGUCGUUCCGCAAGACGAAUUUCCCUAUGGGCUUGCUUCGCAAGACGAAACGUCUUGCGAGUUCUUGCGAGUUUGUUUCCUUUUUCUUUAAGCCGCUAAGCCGUUAAUAGCCGCUAAGCCGUUAAUAGCCGCUAAUAGUCGCUAAGCCGCUAAUAGCCGUGCUUCGCAAGACGAAGAGACUCGCGGAACGGAUUAAUUUCGUCUUGCGAGGCACCACUGUACCUCAUAGGGUAACCACUUACACAUCACCAACAAAGAGGAAAUGCAUUGCCAAAAAAAGGAAUAGAUUUUUGCAUAAAAUUAGCAUAGGGUAAUUUAUUAUACAGGUUUCGAAAUGACUGUAAUUUAAAUAGAAAUACAAUAUAGCUCACCAUAGAGGAAAUGAGUGUGAUCAGGUAACCUUUGCACAUGCUCAUUCUGCUCUCUAGGUCUGAGGCUCUGCAGGGAUCCUUUUUGCUCUUCCUUCUUAAGGUUCUGUAUAUUUAAACAGAACUUGGACUGGAUGGGCAGUCCUCCAGAUCAAGAAUUGGGGAAUGAUCCAUAGCUGUGUUCAGGAAGCACAUUCAUAACUCUCACGGAAAUCAGAGGAAAUUACUUCUCAGUAAAUACUUACAAGACUGAGCUGCAAAUCCUAGUGCAGGGGUGUCAAACUCAAAUUCAUCGGGGGCCGCAUCAGCAGUUUGGUCACCCUCAAAGGGCCGGUUGUAUCUGUAGGACCAUGUGUCCACUCUUUAUUAUCAUAAAUUAUUGUCACUGCAUUCAAUUAUUACUGUUUUUUGUAAUAAUGUAGACGGUCCACUUUACAUUUAUUUUAAGGGUGUUUGGAGUGUGCGCGCACGCCUCUCUCUCUCUCCCACUCACCCCCCCCCCCACUAGCCACCCCAUAUUCCCAAAGAACAACUUGAUCACGGGCAUUGUCGGUCCUGGAAAGGCUGGCUGUGCAAAGAUGGAGAGGGAGGCGAAAUGAAGAGGAAGGGAAGCCCCGGGCUGGUGAAAUCCAGCACGGAGGAGAAGAGGACGCCUCCCGCAGGGCGAGUUUGCACACCAGGAAGGAUCGGGAAGCAAUAGCAGGACGUGCGAGGAGAGAGGGGCUUUCGAAGCCACCCACCCUGGGAGCGGACUCUCCUUAAAAAAUAAAUCAAUGAUGACGAUGGAUUCUUAACAUCUGGUGGGAAUUUUAUUUUCUCUCUCUUCCUGCUUUCUCCUCCUCCCGCCACCAAGCUCGUCGCCGCCGCCACCAUCAGCAUCUCUUUGCAUUUGAUGUGCGAUUCUGGGAGGGGGGAAUGCAGAGGAGUUGGAGGCAAGGUGAACGGAUAUAAUAACGCGGAGAGUUUGGCGAGGAGAAGACGCGGAUGCUCCGGAUUGCUGACUUGCUCCUGGCUGAAAUCAGAAAUCCGAUUGCGCACUGGGUUGUGAUUGGAAAUCUAAUCAGAUCCUGGGAUCAGCAAGGGGGAGAGCAUGAGAGCAGCGGAGGGGGGGGCAGAGAGGGAGAGAAGAAAAGAAGAGUCCCAAAGUUGGCGUUUCUGAGAAAAUAAUUUCAGAUGUUGCAAGGGGACGCGCCUCGGUGGAGGGCGGAGGGGGAGACACGGGAAGCGCGGCCGUGGGAACCCCCGAUGUAACGUGGACGCACAUGGAUCCGCUCACAGAGAAGGAGCCGCUUGGCCGGAGCUGAGCAGACAUAACAAAAUCGUGUUAUUAAACCAAACAGCGGCCGUUUCAGACAGACGGGGCUGCCGCUGCUGCUGCUGGUGGCGGAGGCAGCAAGGGAAACCUUCCGCAGAAGCCAAAAACGAUUCCAAGGUGGCUGAGGAUUGGAAGAAAAGGGGAGUUUGGGGGGCGGGUGGGGAGGAUCCAGCAUCCCCGGAGAAGAUCCAAGGCUGGAAUAAAAAAGUUUCUCCGAGGAGAAAGACUCCCCCUCUGCGGCGCGGAGAGACCUGACCUUCCGCUUGCUCUUUUUGAGCAGUGAGCGGGAGAGAGAAGCCAGCUGCCCGCCUCGCUUCGGCCCCCGACGACGAAGACGCAAGUUGAGAGACGCGGGGACAUUUGAAGCAGCAGCCACGUCCUUAAGAGCGACGGGGAGAGGCGAGUAGGGAGCCGCACCAUGUAAACUUUCUUGUGUC
rnacentral:lncRNA from 1 species